rnacentral:rRNA from 1 species
GCAGAAGAAGCACCGGCUAACUCCGUGCCAGCAGCCGCGGUAAUACGGAGGGUGCGAGCGUUAAUCGGAAUUACUGGGCGUAAAGCGCAUGCAGGUGGUUUGUUAAGUCAGAUGUGAAAGCCCGGGGCUCAACCUCGGAAUUGCAUUUGAAACUGGCAGACUAGAGUACUGUAGAGGGGGUAGAAUUUCAGGUGUAGCGGUGAAAUGCGUAGAGAUCUGAAGGAAUACCGGUGGCGAAGGCGGCCCCCUGGACAGAUACUGACACUCAGAUGCGAAAGCGUGGGGAGCAAACAGGAUUAGAUACCCUGGUAG